UAAUACAGAGGUCCCGAGCGUUGUUCGGAUUCACUGGGCGUAAAGGGUGCGUAGGUGGUGGGGUAAGUCGGAUGUGAAAGCUCGGAGCUCAACUCCGAAAAGGCAUUGGAAACUGCCCUGCUAGAGGGUCGGAGGGGGGACUGGAAUUCUCGGUGUAGCAGUGAAAUGCGUAGAUAUCGAGAGGAACACCAGUGGCGAAGGCGAGUCCCUGGACGACACCUGACACUGAGGCACGAAAGCUAGGGGAGCAAACAGGAUUAGAUACCCUGGUAGUCCUAGCCGUAAACGGUGCGCGUUUGCUGUAAGAGGAAUCGACCCCUUUUGUGGCGAAGCCAACGCGAUAAACGCGCCGCCUGGGAAGUACGGUCGCAAGAUUA
rnacentral:rRNA from 1 species